rnacentral:sRNA from 1 species
AGGUACCUGAAAACUUCCUUAAGCUGCAGUUGCUGUGCCGGCUUCCUAGGACAUUCAUCAGCUGGUCCUGUCACCCUGCCAGGUCUCUAUAUGCUCAGCCAAUCUCCAUAAUUGUAAAUCAAAACUAAGAGCCCUGGACGGUAAAGGCCAAAGAGACUUCUAACAAAGGAUCCAGGAUUUUUAAUUUGGAAGGAUUUGCUGGCCUUGUGAGUAGCUACUUGUGGUUCACAUUGUUCUCCAUUCUGUGGUUUACAGAUUUACUGUGUUCAUGAGGAAUCAUUCCUAGCUUUCAGGUACUCAUUCGUUCUUCACAAGAAAAGUUUUAUUUCCUAUGACCUCAUGAAAAAUGUAUGUAGUGUUCUCUUGUGCAUGUUUCAUUCAGUUUAUUGUCUACAUACGAUUUUGACUAAAAAACAUGUUUUAAUGAAUAGUGACAUUCAACUGUACCUUUACUACUGUAAAUACUAGUAGCUACUUUUCUGAAUUCAUCACUACAGUUAGCAAUUAUUUUCCCUCAGGGCCUGAGCAAUAUUAUUCCAUGCUCUCCUGAUUUUAAUCUAUGGAUAAAUAUUUUUACUGCUAGGCUAGAAUGCUAUGUUCUUAAGAGUCCCAGUGUCUGAACACUACACAUUGCUGUUUGAGUUUAUCUACUUUAAAAAGACUGAGGUGAAACAAGUGACAGUAAACUUUGACUGAAAGGCUCAAAAGUACAGAAUUAUGUCUUUUAAAGAAUCAGGUGUGUAUUUGAGGAAAAGUCAGUUCCAAGGGUUAAAGUUGAAGCCCUAGUGUUGAUGAUGACUUCAUGAUGGAAGGAUGCAAAACCAUGGGCUAUCCUUCCCAUCCUAGAAUGAGCUCUUGCUCUGUCUCCAUGAAAUGGAAAAUGUACU